rnacentral:rRNA from 1 species
UACGUAGGGGGCGAGCGUUGUCCGGAAUCAUUGGGCGUAAAGCGCGUGUAGGCGGUCCGGUAAGUCCGCUGGGAAAGUCGGGGGCUCAACCCUCGAAUGCCGGUGGAUACUGUCGGGCUAGAGUGCGGAAGAGGCGAGUGGAAUUCCUGGUGUAGCGGUGAAAUGCGCAGAUAUCAGGAGGAACACCGGUGGCGAAGGCGGGUCUCUGGGCCGUAACUGACGCUGAGGAGCGAAAGCAUGGGGAGCGAACAGG